AAACUAGCGGAUGAGCUGUGGAUAGGGGUGAAAGGCUAAACAAACUUGGAAAUAGCUGGUUCUCUCCGAAAACUAUUUAGGUAGUGCCUCAAGUAUCACCAUCGGGGGUAGAGCACUGUUAUGGCUAGGGGGUCAUUGCGACUUACCAAACCAUUGCAAACUCCGAAUACCGAUGAGUGCGAGCUUGGGAGACAGACAUCGGGUGCUAACGUCCGGUGUCAAGAGGGAAACAACCCAGACC
rnacentral:rRNA from 1 species